AUGAAUCCGGCCCCAAAUUUGCGUGCCCCGGGUGCAUUUGGCCCUGUCGCAGCUACACCGCCGCCGCCCCCCUUCCUCCCUUCUCUGUCUAAUCCAAUCCGGGUUUUGCAUACCCCUUGCAGAGCUCCUCCAUUUCUCCCUCCGCCGGGCUCGGCGCCUCUCCUUUACUUAACUGGCGGCGAAAUCCUCUCCGGUUCUUCCUUGCGCCCGUCUCCCUUCCCCCACUCCCCGUUCCGACGCAGCGAUCCAGCACGUCGCCUUCCCUCUCUCCGCUUUUCCAGAGGGGCCCGGAGGAGGCCAAGGGGAGGGAGUCCAGGCCGGGUUUUCGGUUCGGCCCCCGGUGCGCUCGCGCUGGUGGCGGCGGCCGAUCCCCGGCGGCGGCUCCGGGCCGGGUUUUGCGCGCGCCCGCCGCCCCCCUCCCGGAGCGGGUGCGUCGGGGAGAGGGGCGAGCAGGCGGCUUGUCAUUGCUGGUGCCCGGCGCCGGCUCGGUCCGCGCGUCCUGCGGUGCCCACGGGCCCGGCCCGGCGCCCCCCCUCCGGCCGCCCCGGGGGCGCGACGCCGCCGCGCCCGCCUCCAGCCGCGCCCCCCCAGCUCCGCGCCGCCCGCCCCCAUCCCGAGCCCCCCGCGGCCACUGCGGGGAGCCCGAGCCGUCGGCGCGGGAGCUGUUGGCGCUGCGGCGCCUCCGCCCCGCCGUCUGCCGAGGAGGCCCCGGCGGAUGGGGCCGCGCGGGCCCCGGAGCGGCGCCGCCGGGCGGCGGGGGGCUGCAGGGGCGCCCCGGCUGGCCCGUUAACCCCUCGGCCGCCGCCGCCGCCGCCGCCGUCGGAGGGGGCUGGGAAGUCGCCUGGGCGCACACGUGCCGCCUCCGUCGGGGCCGCGGAGCUGCGGGGGAGAUGCGGGCCGCUGUCGGCGCCGCCUCGGGGGGCUCCGCCUCGCCCCAGCCCCCGGAGCUCUGACGCCGCCCCCGCCCCGCCGCCUCCGCCGCCUCCCUCCCCGGGAGGGGCGCGGACCCGCUCGCCCCCAGCCCCGAGCCUCCGCCGCCGCGAGGGGGCCGCCUUUGGAGCUGUGUAA
rnacentral:lncRNA from 1 species